rnacentral:antisense_RNA from 1 species
GUGCUCUUACUUCUCCUGGGGUGGGCCACAGGUCUGAAUACCCCCUCUUCCUGUUUGCCUUGCUGCUGCGUCCAAGAGGCUUUGGGAGCCUCCCUCCCCCUGAAAGUCCUCCUGGCUGGACCUGCCCCAUUCGUGUUCAUUUCUCCCACCCUCGAGGGAGAGCUCAAGUGUGUGCCUCUAUCUCCUGCAAAGAAAACUGAAUUCCGUUUAAGGGUUUGGCCUACACCAAUGAGUCCACAUUUGGAGUGGGGUGUCACAAGGACUUGGUGCUGAGUUGGCUUCUCUGCGAUCUCCUGCGGCACACACUCCACGCCAGGCCGUUGGCAAUCAUUGUAAACACACGAUGGGUGACAGACCACCUGGCUGAUGUGUAGACGACCCUAAAAUUCUUCUUUACCCAGUCCAGGAGCCAGAAUUCCUCCCUGUUGCUCCCAAGCCUGCCCUGCCCUCCCCCCACCUUCCCGGCCCUCCUAGCAUACCUGCUGUUACAGCUCAUCUUCAGUGAUUUGCCUGGUGGGGGAAGGAAAAGCAAUAGAACACUCCAGGUCUGCACUG